AUUUAAGUAGCUUAAGACAAUCAAAGCGUAAUAUUGAAGAUAUUAAAAUAACUAUAAGAGUUUUUAAAUA
rnacentral:tRNA from 1 species